UACGUAGGGUGCGAGCGUUGUCCGGAUUUAUUGGGCGUAAAGAGCUCGUUAGGCGGUUUGUCGCGUCGGCCGUGAAAUCUCCACGCUUAACGUGGAGCGUGCGGGUCGAUACGGGGCAGACUUGAGUUCGGUAGGGGGAGACUGGAAUUCCUGGUGUAGCGGUGAAAUGCGCAGAUAUCAGGAGGGAACACCGGUGGGCGAAAGGCGGGGUCUCUG
rnacentral:rRNA from 1 species